rnacentral:lncRNA from 1 species
UGGGUCCAACUGGUCCAGGCUUAGGUCUGGCCCUGACCCAGCUGGGAGAAUUCAAGAUUUAUUUAUGCUGUGGCAGCAGAAUAAGGCAGUUACUCAUGACGACUUUUCUACACAGGACAAACAGCAGCCUGUCAGCCACCGCCAGUGAGUCGGACUUAACAUCGUUGGGAGAAAAGCUGAUUCUGUCUCUUGUUCUUAUGAAAAGAAACGUAUAUCCAGAAUUCAGCCAGAAAACAAAUUUUAUACGUCUAUGAGUUGAAAGAAUGAAUGGAUGAGAUUAUUUCAAAUGGAA